rnacentral:SRP_RNA from 1 species
UUCCGGGUACGGUAGGGACAACGAGCUCGAGCGUGGGCCCUCGCGGAAGUCGGCAUCGUCGUCAUCGUCGUCCGGGAGCGACGGGUGCCCCAUAUGGUUGAAAGAGGUGUGG